AUUGAACGCUGGCGGCAUGCCUUACACAUGCAAGUCGAACGGCAGCACGGGUGCUUGCACCUGGUGGCGAGUGGCGAACGGGUGAGUAAUACAUCGGAACAUGUCCUGUAGUGGGGGAUAGCCCGGCGAAAGCCGGAUUAAUACCGCAUACGAUCUACGGAUGAAAGCGGGGGACCUUCGGGCCUCGCGCUGUAGGGUUGGCCGAUGGCUGAUUAGCUAGUUGGUGGGGUAAAGGCCUACCAAGGCGACGAUCAGUAGCUGGUCUGAGAGGACGACCAGCCACACUGGGACUGAGACACGGCCCAGACUCCUACGGGAGGCAGCAGUGGGGAAUUUUGGACAAAGGGCGAAAGCCUGAUCCAGCAAUGCCGCGUGUGUGAAGAAGGCCUUCGGGUUGUAAAGCACUUUUGUCCGGAAAGAAAUCCUUGGCCCUAAUACGGUCGGGGGAUGACGGUACCGGAAGAAUAAGCACCGGCUAACUACGUG
rnacentral:rRNA from 1 species